rnacentral:rRNA from 1 species
CGCCCUUAGAGUUUGAUCCUGGCUCAGAUCGAACGCUGGCGGCGUGGCUAAAACAUGCAAGUCGAACGCGAAAGUUUUUUCGGAAACGAGUAGAGUGGCGAAAGGGCGAGGAGCACAUGGGUAACGUACCCCGAGCACGAGGACAGCUGCGGGAAACUGCAGGUAAUACUCGAUGAGACCACGGUGUCAUAUGGCACAGCGGUCAAAGGGCGGGGAUCCGCUUCGGCGGACCUGCCGGCUUGGGAGCGGCCCAUGUCCUAUCAGCUUGUUGGCGAGGUAACAGCUCACCAAGGCUACGACGGGUACCGGGACUGAGAGGUUGAUCCGGCGCAUUGGGACUGAGACACUGCCCAGACUCCUACGGGAGGCUGCAGUAACGAAUAUUCCGCAAUGGGCGAAAGCCUGACGGAGCGACGCCGCGUGCAGGAUGAAGCCCUUCGGGGUGUAAACUGCUGUCAGGGACUACCAAGCAAUGGGGGCUAAUAUCUCCCGGCGUUGAGGAAUCCCUGAGGAAGCCACGGCUAACUUCGUGCCAGCAGCCGCGGUAAGACGAAGGUGGCAAGCGUUGUUCGGAAUCACUGGGCUUAAAGCGCAUGCAGGCGGCCCGUCAAGCGUCUUGUGAAAGCCCUCGGCUCAACCGAGGAAUUGCUAGGCGAACUGGCGGGCUUGAGGCGAGUAGAGGCGUGUGGAACUCUUGGUGGAGCGGUGGAAUGCGUAGAUAUCAAGAGGAACGCCGG